rfam:Salmo salar isolate Sally breed double haploid chromosome ssa22, whole genome shotgun sequence.
UGCACACAUGACUGUAGGUCGCUUUCUGCAUAAAAGCGUCUGCUAAAUGGCAUAUA